rnacentral:rRNA from 1 species
AUCGGCCUCGGGAGGCAGCAGUAGGGAAUCUUCCACAAUGGGCGAAAGCCUGAUGGAGCAACGCCGCGUGGGUGAAGAAGGUCUUCGGAUCGUAAAGCCCUGUUGUUAGAGAAGAAAGUGCGUGAGAGUAACUGUUCACGUUUCGACGGUAUCUAACCAGAAAGCCACGGCUAACUACGUGCCAGCAGCCACGGUAAUACGUAGGUGGCAAGCGUUAUCCGGAUUUAUUGGGCGUAAAGAGAACGCAGGCGGUCUUUUAAGUCUGAUGUGAAAGCCUUCGGCUUAACCGGAGUAGUGCAUUGGAA